UGAGUUCAGAAUGGAGUGAGAACUCGGGAGUUGGGGAAAAUUCCAGAACACAGAAUGGCAUGUGAGUGGUACUUCAAGGCUAGGCAGCAGCUUACUGUGCAAACAAGGUCAUUUGAUCAGCAAUGAGGUUCACUGUAAGUGUCUAAUCUCCAAAUCAAUUGACCACAUGGUAGAUUUUUGUCAGAAUCAGGAAUUUUCGGUGGUGAAGGAGAAAGGCACGAGGAGCCCACAGAGUUAUCAGAAUGGCGCUUAGAGAUAAAAUGCUCGACUGAGAAACCUGAUGUGGAAUAAACGCAAGCCCUAUUGGAAAGAUGGUUCAUGAUUAACAGAUUUGAUGGCCGUGAGCCAGGACUAGUGGAUCCUGCUAUAUAACCCUAGGAGUCAGAAGGAUUCGGGGAAAGGAUGAUGCUUUGACAUCAAGACCAGCUGUUGCUACAGAUUGAGUUCCCAGAAAGGAGCAAGGAUCACCCUGCCGUCUCCUCUUUCUCUGAACCCACAUGUCUCAUGAGGUCUUCUCAACUCUUGAAGUCAGCUGUCACAGACUGUAUAUAUCUCACAGAUUUACAUCUUCAGGACAGACACACAUCAUAACUGUGUAUCAGUUAUAACUACCUAGCUUUCCCACAAGCACUUGAAAGUGUAUAUGUUGGAAACAGAAGUUAAAAUCACCUCUCAAAUACAUUUCUCAUCUAUUCUGCUGAUCGAAAUGUCACCUUUAGGUUUUAACAAUUUAACAAAUUUCAACGAUCAGUUCUUGAGUCUUAUGGAAGAAAAGAUGAGGCGAGUGUGGGGGCCCACUUCUCUGAUCCCAGCACUAGAAAGGCUGAGGAAGGAAGAUUGGUAUAAGGUUGAGGCCUGUCUGUUCCACAUAGCGAUGCCCAGACUAGUCAAUGGAAGAAAGCUUGUCUCAAAGAAACAACAUAACAAGCUGGGUGGUGACAGUUCACAUCUUUAAUCCUUGGGAGCCAGAUGCAAGUGGAUCUCUGAGGUCAAGUUCCAGGGCAGCCAGGGCUAUACGGAGAAAUCUCUAGGUCAAAAACAAACAAGCAAGCAAACAGACAGAAAGGAACAACAAAACAAAAGAACACGAUUUGAUUACUGAGGGAGUCAGACUUCAGGAUUAAUACGCUUGCGAAAAUAAGUAGAAGAAACCCAUUUCUAGUAGCAGUCUACAAAUCUACGCCUCAUUCGCUGCUGAUUUUCAUAGGAAAAGAAGUUUUGACAAAUAUAUUCAAAAGAAACAAAAUGUACUAAAUAAGCCAAAAGAAUCAACGUGCUUAAUAAAGCCGUAAAGCAUCAUAUAAAUAACAGGUAUUAUAAUACUGGCACUCUGACUGAGAAAGCAAACCACAAAACGGGCAUUUGAAGAAAAAAUAUGCACAAUGAGAGAAGAAAGACUUCCUGGGAGGAAGAGGGAGGAAAUGGAGACACAGAACAUCAAGAGCUAUGCCCUUCAUCAUCACCGGAAAAACAACAUUUCCAUGAAAAAAGAGUAAGUAGUUUAACAUCGCAACAUGACAGUAUUCCAAAAGAAAGAAAGGCUAUGAAAAACAGAUCUGUGAAUAAUAAAGGAAGAGAACCGGGCAAAGGAGCAGAGAGAGGAUAAAGAAGGAAAAACAGAGUCCGAGGAUGCCUCUUCUAACAAUAUGAUUUGAAUUUAAAGCCAUCACAUCUGCUUUUUAUAACUCUCUGCGUGUAUUAGCUCACAUAAAGGACCAUGUUGAUGUGUAUUGUAAGGAAGAAAUAAGAAGCUUAUUAGAGAAGGGAAAAAAAAUCUACCAUCUCCAGGAUAAUAAAGUUUUCUUUCACUGAAGAACUUUGUAGAGAGCAGUAGCAGCUGUACAUACACUGUUCAAAGGCCGGCCUGGUGAAAGGGUUCAGAUCGCUUAGUUCAUCCAUCUUUGGUAACAUAAAAUUGACUUUAUCUGUUAAAUGAUGGUUGGUCUAUAUUUGAUCUUAUUUUUCCAAUCCUCCUGUUAUGUUGUCAUACAACAAAAAGAACUCUUGGCAUUUGAAGUUAAUUUUUUUUUUUAUAUUAGGUUACCUUUCCGAAUGAAUUAUUAGAAAUACUGAGUCCUUAGUACACUGAGGAAGAAAAAAGAAAAUCUAGAUUCCGAAGUUGAAGCUGGCAUAGAGUCGCUCGCCUGUGAUCCCAGGUUCACGGCACCUGAAGGGAAAAAAGUGGUCUUCCUAGAAAGGAUGGCGCAGAAGAAAGCGGUUAACUGGAGUAAUGGAACUCACCAACUGCAGGUGCGUGGACGAUGGGCGGAGCUUCCCUGGCAAGGUUCCAGCCCGGC
rnacentral:lncRNA from 1 species